UACAGAGGGUGCAAGCGUUAAUCGGAAUUACUGGGCGUAAAGCGUGCGUAGACGGUUACAUAAGUCGGGUGUGAAAGCCCCGGGCUCAACCUGGGAAUUGCAUUCGAGACUGCGUAGCUAGGGUGCGGAAGAGGGAAGCGGAAUUUCCGGUGUGAGCGGUGAAAUGCGUAGAUAUCGGAAGGAACACCAGUGGCGAAAGCGGCUUCCUGGUCCAGCACCGACGUUCAGGCACGAAAGCGUGGGGAGCAAACAGG
rnacentral:rRNA from 1 species